GUGCUCACUUUGGCAGAACAUACACUAAAAUUGGAACGACACAGAAGAUUCGCGUGGCCCUUGCACAAAGAUGACACCCAAAUGGGUGAAGUGUUCCAUACAUUU
ensembl:snRNA U6 U6 spliceosomal RNA